rnacentral:rRNA from 1 species
GGAAGGUCCGGGCGNNAUCCGGAUNUAUNGGGUNUAAAGGGAGCGUAGGCCGGAGAUUAAGCGUGUUGUGAAAUGUAGACGCUCAACGUCCGCACNGCAGCGCGAACUGGUNUCCUNGAGCACGCACAAAGUGGGCGGAAUUCGUGGUGUAGCGGUGAAAUGCUUAGAUAUCACGAAGAACUCCGAUUGCGAAGGCAGCUCACUGGAGCGCAACUGACGCUGAAGCUCGAAAGUGCGGGUAUCGAACAGGAUUAGAUACCCUGGUAGUCCACACCGUAAACGAUGAAUACUAGGUGUCGGGGAGCAUUGCUCUUCGGUGCCGCAGCAAACGCAAUAAGUAUUCCACCUGGGGAGU